UUAAUUAUUGUUUUUUUCUGACGCUGAUUGCAACUACAAAGGGUUUGUGUUUGUCCUAUCGGCAGGCAAGCCCGCCGAGGAAACAAGUGGUACGCAAAAGACAAGGGUAUAGCAGGGGCCGAAGCCCGCUGAUAUUGAUAAUGAUCCUUCCGCAGGUUCACCUACGGAAA
rnacentral:misc_RNA from 1 species